UAUAUUUUAGUAUAAGAUGUAUAAAGGUUUUUGAAACCUUAGGAGAUAGUUUAAUUCUAUCAAAUGUAA
rnacentral:tRNA from 1 species